rnacentral:RNase_P_RNA from 1 species
CCUGCGGGCCAGACAGCCGCGGAGGUAACGCCCUUCGAGGAAAGUCCGGACAUCGCAGGGCAGGGCGGUCGGGACACCGACCCGGGGAAACCCGCGGGAAAGUGCCACAGAAACACACCGCCGAUGGCGCGUCCGCACGUGCGACGCGCACAGGCAAGGGUGAAAUGGUGCGGUAAGAGCGCACCGGCGUCACGGUGACGUGGCGGCCGGGCAAACCCCACCCGGUGCAAGGCCAAGCAGGACCGUUUGCAGGCUGCCCGCCAAGGUCCAGGUCGGCCGCUCAGAUGGAUGACCGUCCACGACAGAAUCCGGCUUACCGGCUUGCUACGGAA